UACGGGGGGAGCAAGCGUUGUUCGGAUUUACUGGGCGUAAAGGGCGGGUAGGCGGCCACCGCAAGUCAGUUGUGAAAUCUCUGGGCUUAACCCAGAAAGGUCAACUGAUACUGCGGGGCUAGAGUGCAGAAGGGGCAACUGGAAUUCUCGGUGUAGCGGUGAAAUGCGUAGAUAUCUGGAGGAACACCGGUGGCGAAGGCGGCAUCCUGGACCAAAACUGACGCUGAAUAGCGAAAGCCAGGGGAGCAAACGGG
rnacentral:rRNA from 1 species